rnacentral:rRNA from 1 species
AUUCCAGCUCCAAUAGCGUAUAUUAAAGUUGUUGCAGUUAAAAAGCUCGUAGUUGGAUUUGUGGUGUUUGGCUGAGUCCCAGCAUUGUCUGGGUGCUCGUGUUGAAUGCCAUCCUUGGGUGGAAGCAGUGUGGCAUUAGGUUGUCGUGCUGUGGAUGCCCAUCGUUUACUGUGAAAAAAUCAGCGCGUUCAAAGCAGGCUUAUGCCGUUGAAUGUAUUAGCAUGGAAUAAUAAGAUAGGACCUUGGUACUAUUUUGUUGGUUUGCGCACCGAGGUAAUGAUUAAUAGGGACAGUUGGGGGUAUUCGUAUUCCAUUGUCAGAGGUGAAAUUCUUGGAUUUCUGGAAGACGAACUACUGCGAAAGCAUUUACCAAGGAUGUUUUC